AGGGAAAGAGGGAGGGAGGAAGAACACAGGCAAGUCGAACGGCAGCACAGUAAGAGCUUGCUCUUAUGGGUGGCGAGUGGCGGACGGGUGAGGAAUACAUCGGAAUCUACUUUUUCGUGGGGGAUAACGUAGGGAAACUUACGCUAAUACCGCAUACGACCUACGGGUGAAAGCAGGGGAUCUUCGGACCUUGCGCGAUUGAAUGAGCCGAUGUCGGAUUAGCUAGUUGGCGGGGUAAAGGCCCACCAAGGCGACGAUCCGUAGCUGGUCUGAGAGGAUGAUCAGCCACACUGGAACUGAGACACGGUCCAGACUCCUACGGGAGGCAGCAGUGGGGAAUAUUGGACAAUGGGCGCAAGCCUGAUCCAGCCAUACCGCGUGGGUGAAGAAGGCCUUCGGGUUGUAAAGCCCUUUUGUUGGGAAAGAAAAGCAGCAGGUUAAUACCCCGCUGUUCUGACGGUACCCAAAGAAUAAGCACCGGCUCACUUCGUC
rnacentral:rRNA from 1 species